GAAAAGGAUGUGGGAUUUCGAAGACAGCUAGGAUGUUGGCUCAGAAGCAGCCAUACAUUCAAAGAGUGCGUAAUAGCUCACUAGUCGAGAGGUCCUGCGCCGAAAAUGUCCGGGGCUGAAACAUGCCGCCGAAGCUGAGGGAUGCACGUGAGUGCAUCGGUAGGGGAGCAUUCCUGCAGGGAAGAAGCUGUACCGUAAGGGGCAGUGGACAUGCAGGAAGAGAGAAUGCCGGAAUGAGUAGCGAGAGGAAGGUGGGAAUCCUUCCGGCCGAAUAUCCAAGGUUUCCAGGGUAAAGCUGAUCUGCCCUGGGUAAGUCGGGGCCUAAGGCGAGGCCGAAAGGCGUAGCCGAUGGACAACAGGUUGAAAUUCCUGUACUGCUGUAUGACAGAACUGUGGGGACACGUGUGGAGAGCAUAGCCGGGGAAUGGAAAGACCCGGGCAAGCGGGGUAGGAGUCCUGCCGGAAAAACCGCAGGGCAAUCCGAAGACGUGAUGCGGACCGAAAGAGAGUAGGGAAGUAUGCGAGCCAUGCGUCAAGAAAAGCCGCUAUUGUUCAUAGAGCACCCGUACCGUAAACCGACACAGGUGGAUGAGGAGAGAAUCCUAAGGCCGACGGAAGAAGCAUUGCCAAGGAACUCGGCAAAAUGACCCCGUAACUUCGGGAGAAGGGGUGCCCCAGAGAUGGGGCCGCAGAGAAUUGGCCCAAGCAACUGUUUAGCAAAAACACAGGUCUAUGCAAAACCGCAAGGUGAGGUAUAUGGGCUGACGCCUGCCCGGUGCUGGAAGGUUAAGGGGAGGGGUUAGCGCAAGCGAAGCCCUGAUCUUAAGCCCCAGUAAACGGCGGCCGUAACUAUAACGGUCCUAAGGUAGCGAAAUUCCUUGUCGGGUAAGUUCCGACCCGCACGAAAGGCGUAAUGAUUUGGGCACUGUCUCGGCAAUGCAUCCGGUGAAAUUGAAGUACCAGUGAAGAUGCUGGUUACCCGCGCCAGGACGGAAAGACCCCAUGGAGCUUUACUCCAGUUUGGCACUGGGAUCCGGUAUUGCAUGUACAGGAUAGGUGGGAGGCAUGGAAAGGGUUACGCCAGUAGCCCCGGAGCCGAUGUUGGGAUACCACCCCUGCAGUAUUGGG
rnacentral:rRNA from 1 species